UAGGGAAUCUUCCACAAUGGGCGCAAGCCUGAUGGAGCAACACCUCGUGAGUGAAGAAGGGUUUCGGCUCGUAAAGCUCUGUUGUUGGAGAAGAACGUGCGUGAGAGUAACUGUUCACGCAGUGACGGUAUCCAACCAGAAAGUCACGGCUAACUACGUGCCAGCAGCCGCGGUAAUACGUAGGUGGCAAGCGUUAUCCGGAUUUAUUGGGCGUAAAGCGAGCGCAGGCGGUUGCUUAGGUCUGAUGUGAAAGCCUUCGGCUUAACCGAAGAAGUGCAUCGGAAACCGGGCGACUUGAGUGCAGAAGAGGACAGUGGAACUCCAUGUGUAGCGGUGGAAUGCGUAGAUAUAUGGAAGAACACCAGUUGCGAAGGCGGCUCUCUGGACUGUAACUGACACUGAGGCACGAAAGCGUGGGGAGCAAACAGG
rnacentral:rRNA from 1 species